rnacentral:rRNA from 1 species
UACGAAGGGGGCUAGCGUUGCUCGGAAUCACUGGGCGUAAAGGGUGCGUAGGCGGGUCUUUAAGUCAGAGGUGAAAUCCUGGAGCUCAACUCCAGAACUGCCUUUGAUACUGGAGAUCUUGAGUUCGGGAGAGGUGAGUGGAACUGCGAGUGUAGAGGUGAAAUUCGUAGAUAUUCGCAAGAACACCAGUGGCGAAGGCGGCUCACUGGCCCGAUACUGACGCUGAGGCACGAAAGCGUGGGGAGCAAACAGG